GCACCAUUACACCGUCAAUUCCCCCAAAAACACCCUCCAAUUCCCCGAAUUUCAGAUCUGAAAUUCAAUCCCAAAACCUUAGUACGGCCAAAUCACGACAAAACCUCACCAGGACAUCUACCCACUCCCCUCACCCCUAAUAUCCCACCGGUUUGCCCAAAAGGCCUCUUAAAUUUGCGCAAUUUCAGAUCGAAAUUCUGGAAAGAAAGAAAAAAUUAAAAGCCUCUACUGAGUGAUUCUGAAAGUUCAAAUGGUUCAGACCUACAUGAGUCAUUUUCUCUUAACAGGAUCAAUUGAUUCAUGUGGGUUUGAUUUAUUUUUUUUCAAACCUGCCCUAACCAGUCCGAGCUCCGGUCAGGUUCUCCGAAUCCAACUUGUUUCAUCCAUUAGUAUAGGUAAUUUCUUGCUUGGUUUCUAUUUUUCUUUUCUUGGCCAUUUUCUUUCUUUGAUUGAUUCUUCGUGUGGUUGUUCUGUUUAUAGUUGCAUGACUUAGGUUCUUAUUUUUCGUUCAGAAUUGUUUGUUAAAUUCUGCGUUUAAUUAUUGAGACUAGUCAGUAGAUUUAGGGUUGAUUUAUGCAUAUUUUUCAAUUACUAGUUGGUCAUUUUUUCGGUUAGGUUUUGUCUAAAUUGGUUUAGCUUGUUUCCAGUCGAUUUCAUUUAAAAUCAGCAUGUUAGUUUCCUGCUAUUAUUUAAUUCCGAGAUACAAUGAUGUUAGUUGGUAAAAUAGGUUCAAUUCUCAGAAAAUGGCUCGUUAAUUAGGAAUUCUGGAUUCAUGUUAGGUUCAAAUAUUUCUAUUUUGUGUUGUUUUGAUCUCAAGCUCAAUGAUAAAAGAAUUUAGGUUCCGUUAAAAGCUUAAUUGAAUUAGGAUUUGUCCUAUUUGAUCUUCUUUGUUUUUAAUUCAGAUUUUUGUGUUGUUUGCUGUAGUUUCUAAUUGUUAAACACUCCUAGGGUCUUAAUUGAAUAGAUGAAACUUAGGAGGUUAAAUUGGGAAUAGGAGAUCAGAUUUUUAGAAGGGAAACUUCUAGAAUCUGGGGCAGCUGGCCCAAUUUUGGCUAGCACAAAUGCUGGAGCCAAUCAAAGGCUGCCAGCUAUCCCAAUUCUGUUAGGAAAGAUGCAUUGUGAGGGAAUAAUUCUCAUUCUGUUUUCAGCAGCACAUGGCACCCCAAAAGGGCUAUAUAUAGACCUCUCUUUCACUCAAAAAUCAGAGAUUGGAAAACCCUAAGGAAAAGAACAAAAGUUUCUGCACUGCUUUUCAUUGGAAGUUGGCUCGAAUUGGUUUCUUAUUUUUCCUCUAGAAGAAUUUUGAAAAGACUUUCAUUGGUUUAUUGGUUUUCUGGGUUUUGGCCAUGGACUAAAGAAGUUGGGGUUGUUGUUAUUUUGCUUCUUUGCUCACACUAUUGUUUUGGCCGAGAUCCUCACAUUUUGUUUUGCUUUUGGUAACCAGGUAUUCUCAUGAACUUCUGAAUGGAAAAUGAAGAUGUAUAGCAUGUUUCAUUUAGUUUUUUUUGGUAAUAUUAAGAUGCAGUUUAUUUGGUUGACCCUUCUGUUCUUUUUUGCGAAAAUAUUUUGAAUCAGGAUAUUAGCUGGAAUUUAGUAUUUAUAUGAAUGAUCAUUUUGCAUUAGUUAGUCCAUGUAUGGUUCUCAAUAGUUUGAAAACUGUCAAGCAGUUAUAGUAGUUUACAUGGGUUUCAC
rnacentral:lncRNA from 1 species